ensembl:ribozyme RNaseP_nuc Nuclear RNase P
GUCAGAGGAAGCUCAGCAUCAGGUCACACAAAGAGUGCUUGUCACUCCCUAUCCCCUUGGAAGAUCCAAGACUGGGCUCUCCCUACAUUAGGAGGAGACUUCCCAGAGAAGUAAUAAACUAUUUUAUUCACAAAAUGCAAGGGAUUUUUCACAAAAUCCCUCAAUUUUGAGGCCUUUAUAAAGGAAACAAAGUAAAUCUUCCGUUAU